rnacentral:rRNA from 1 species
UGCAAGUCGAACGGUGUAUUACUUUCGGGUAGUUGAGAGUGGCGAACGGGUGCGUAACGCGUAUGCAACCUACCCUAUACAGGGGGAUAGCCCGGAGAAAUCUGGAUUAAUACCCCAUAGUAUCAUUGAGCUGCAUGGUUUAAUGAUUAAAGAUUCAUCGGUAUAGGAUGGGCAUGCGUCUGAUUAGCUAGUUGGCGGUGUAACGGACCACCAAGGCUACGAUCAGUAGGGGUUCUGAGAGGAAGGUCCCCCACACUGGCACUGAGAUACGGGCCAGACUCCUACGGGAGGCAGCAGUAGGGAAUAUUGGGCAAUGGACGAGAGUCUGACCCAGCCAUGCCGCGUGCAGGAAGACGGCGUUCUGCGUUGUAAACUGCUUUUAUCUGGGAAGAAAAUGCCCCUGCGGGGGAAAUUGCCGGUACCAGAUGAAUAAGCACCGGCUAACUCCGUGCCAGCAGCCGCGGUAAUACGGAGGGUGCAAGCGUUGUCCGGAUUUAUUGGGUUUAAAGGGUGCGUAGGCGGCUAUUUAAGUCAGUGGUGAAAGACUCCGGCUCAACCGGAGCAGUGCCAUUGAUACUGGAUAGCUUGAGUAUUGGAGGGGUACAUGGAAUUGAUGGUGUAGCGGUGAAAUGCAUAGAUACCAUCAGGAACACCGAUAGCGAAGGCAUUGUACUGGCCAAUAACUGACGCUGAUGCACGAAAGCAUGGGUAGCGAACAGGAUUAGAUACCCUGGUAGUCCAUGCCGUAAACGAUGAUUACUCGCUGUUAUG